UCCUGCUUUAGACAGUUCAAGAGGCAGGCUCCAGAUCCCCUUGGAAUGGAAGUAUAAUUACAGCCUGUGGGAAACCCUGCCUGGACCCAUGGUGAGGGCGGGACCUGAGAAGUCUUUGUUUGCAGCCAGGAGAUGGUCUGGAAGACAACUCUACUAAAGGAGCCGAAGACUGACUCGCACCGGCUGCCACUGCUGCUUCCUGCCUGAGUCUUCUUCAUGAAAUACAGCCGACUCAAGGAGAGCCGCUGUCAGCUGACCCACCCUGACAAGCAGCAACCAAUCAGAAAGCUUUUCCCAGAAAACAGAGCAGCCAACUCAAGUGAGAACACAAGGAAACCAAAGCUGGGUGGGACUUGUGGCCCACGGAUGGAGUGAAUCCACAAAGGACCUGGGGCUUAAGAGGAGAGUGGAAUGGGUUCUUGGAGGAAAGAGUAGAAACUGAAACAAAGUAGCUUACAAGACGGGGUGACACAGGUGAGCAGCUCGGUCCCUUAGAAGUUUCCAGCUGGAAGCUUGCCUUCCAAUAAUGGUACUUCUAUUAUGAAUUACUCCUUAUUUGAGCAAAUGUCUGUCGUAACUGGGGGAGGAAGGCUGUCUUAAUAGAAUAACAGUAUGACUUCCUUGCUGUGUCUGUUGCUAACCCAUGUUGCCAUCGCCAUUCUCACAGAACGAGAAGGAUUGUUUUAUUAAGCGAGUGUCGCAGGGCUAGAGGAGUGUCUGCAGGAAGUCAUUCGCAAGCAGCGCUCUGCGGUUUGAAGGAGAGCCAAGUGCUUUGGAGGAAAAGUUAAGCAAGAUGUUAGGGAUGAGAGUAGAGUUACAGUUUUAUUGGGGAGUGAUCUGGGCAAGUCUCAUUGAGAAGGUAACACUGACCAAAGGCUCAGAGAUGGGGAAGUGAGCCAUGCUGAGGUUUGUCUAUGAAACCAGGCAAAAAUGACUACGUGGUCACCAUUUCUUACCUGCAGGGAGUGAAUUGUAAGACCUGUAGAUGUUCCACAAUUUGGUUUGUACUUAAACCUGUACACAGUCUCCAUUUCACAUGUAUGCACACAUAAAUACAUAAUUCAUACAUACAAGCAUGCGCACAUACAUACAUGCAUACUGAUGAAGUCUAACAUAUAUCAGGAACAGUAAAGAAUCAACAAUAAUCAGUUUUAAAGCAGAACAAUUAAAACAGCAAGUGAUAAUACAGGCUAUUUAAACCUUACUAAUUAUUUCCAGAAUGUUUUUAUUUGGCAUUUAAAAACAUAUCUGAGUGCUAAUAAUCAUAACCUUUGAAAGCAAAAAUAGUGAAUAAGGGGGCAGGGCUACUGUAUCCCCCACUUCUGUAUGAUAGUCAUAAGGAAAGUAAGUAAGUUCCAUGCAUAUGGAACAAGAUGGCCUGCCAGGAUAUUGAUAAAAAACAAACAAACAAAACAAAAACAAAAGUUGCUUAGUAACUAACGACGUUCCUGUUCCCAGUUUUGAACUUGAUGCCCUAACUAACAUGUGUGAGCAAUGUGAGCAUUCCUAGCCUGUGUGUGUGGGGCGGGGCACAGAUGACACGCUUCCUCCUGCUUGGGGAGAUGUUGUUCAACAGGGGUAGGGCAGCCACCAGGAGGACCUCUGGAAAAGCACAAGCCUGCUUGCUCCCUUCCUGAAGGUGAAGGCUAGUGGGACAUUCAGAUGGGGGUGGGGGGGGAGUCUUGGCUGUAUUUUGAAAUGCUCCUCUCACUGGCACAUUCCAGACCUCUCUCCAGUCCCCCUCCCCACUUGAUCAAGGAGAUCUGGCUAGAGUCCCCGUACAUGCUCUUCUGGAGAACAUUCCAUAGCUGGGUCCUGUCAAGAUGCAAAAGGAAGCCGUGAGGUAGAAGCAAACUGAAGCCACUGGGGAAGACAAACCCGGAAGGAAGAAUGGCAGAUGGGGCUUCCAAUGCCCGCGGCUCUCCACCAUGGAAAGGCAGUCAAGUAAAGCGAGCCUGUCUUAACUGCCCCUUGCCAGAAACUUACUAAAGAAAGACACCUGUCACUGAUAAAUCCAGUGGAAGUGGCACCCUCAGUACUUCAGAGCAUACAGGCUCAGGACUACAUAGCACCCCAAGUGCAGUAGAAGGGCGGGUAUGUCACAUCCAAGUAGGCUGCCCCUGUGUUAGCUAGUGUGCUUGGACAGGAUCAAAGCCCUAUGGGGAAGGGAACCAUGGUGAUUCUCUUUGGAGUGAGAGAUGGGUUUUGGAGGAGUGGGUGUGAGAUACAGUUAUAAGGUACUUUCUGGGGUCCCUGAGAAGACAUGCUGCUAGGUCUGUGCAUACAAGAAUGGGGUCUAGUUGGGGAGCUCCUCAUUGUUGAUCCAGUGCAUUUGUUCUGCUGCAUCUACCUCAUGCCAGGGCUAAUUCUAGCCCAUAGGUCUUAGUGCAGAGCCAUAUUCUGGUGUUAAAGGAUUGGUUCAACAGAUUUGAAAUCCUGUCUAUAAGCUUGAGUUAUGACACAUGUGGACAUGAGACACUCACAGGAGGUAAAAAGGCUCAUUGUGGGCUUGUCCAGGAGAUAACAAAGAAUGAGAAAUCCAUGUUUCUCCAAAGAGAGCAAACACCCCAAAGGGAAUCUGGGGGGAAUGUAAAAAAAAAAUCUGGGCCAGCAGAAGGAGAAGAUGGUUUGUUUUUCUCUUUAAAUCACCUGGUUAAUAUUACGCUGAGUAUCUUUUUUUCAUGAAACUUCUUAUCUCGAUUAGAUGGUUUCUGUUCAAGAUUUAUAUGGAAGUCAAGAGUGUGGUCUGACAUGUCGUUGUCAUCAGGAUUUCAAGCAUGAUAUUGCUACUGACUGACUGUGUGCUCUGCUGUGCGUCAACACUGGAGAGGCUCCGUUUUCCUCUCAGGAAAGCUGAUUGGUUCCUCUGUUGUCUUGUAGGGUCAUCUGGAAGAUGAACUGGGGGCUGUUGAAGCAGUUGGCUCUUAGUGAAGCCUGUGAAUGGUCUCUUGCUUGUUGAAGAAAAACAACACAGAAUGGUCUGGUUAUUGCUGUGGCUUAGAUGGACUGUCUCUCAAAGGACAAUAAGCUUGGGCCAUGGAUGGAGGUGCUAUUGAGAGAUGGUAGAACCGUUAGUGCAGUGGUUCUUACCUAUGGGCCUUGACCCCUUUGGCAAAUCUCUGUCUCCAAACAUAUUUACAAUCACGAUUUGUAUCAGCAGCAGAAUUACAGUUAUGAAGUAACAACAAAAAUAAUUCUGUGGUUCGGGGAGUCACCGCAUUAGGAAGGGUCACAGCAUUAGUGAGAUUGAGAACCACUGCUUUAGUGUGUGGGGGCUCAGUGCGAGGAUGUUAGGUCAUUGAGAGGCAAGCCAUCGAAGGGAUUGGGUCCCCUUCUUCCCCUCCUAACCACCAUGAGGGACAGUCUACUAUCCCACAGAGCACAACAAAUAACUCACACUACCACAGGCCCAAAGCCACAGGUCCUAACAAUCAUAAGCGAAACCCUCUGGACUCAUGUGCCCAAAAUAAAACUUCUCUCCUUGUACGGUGAUUGUCUCAGGCAUUUUAUCAUAGCAGCAGAGAGCGGGUGAAAUAGAUAACGAUGGCUGAGAAGUGGGUCAUUGGUGUGGUUGUAUCUGAGAUGACAUGGGCUUGUGGAAGGGAUCCACAAAGGUGCGGAGAAGCAAGCUAGAGAAACUUUGGAUCACAGUAAGUAUGGGUGAAUGAAUGGAUAGUUCUAACAAGGACUCAGAGGAUGCCGGGAGCCAAUUGGACAUCAAAGGCUGUCCUGUGAAGUUUCCAACAGAGGUAAGGAACUACUGGAGACUAUAGGCUGCCUGCUGUGGCAGAGCUUCAGCUGAGUUUUUGCCCAUGCUGCGAUGUAGAGACUCUUACUUUCCCUGUUGGGCUACUGACAUUUCGACUUACAAGGCUUUUUACUCAGCUUCUCUUGUCUGAGAGCCAGAGCCAUAGGAAACGCGGUCUGAAAUGGGCAAUGGAAUAAAAGUAUUCACCACGUUUAUCCUGCAAAGGGUUUGCUUCCCCACUCUGAUGACCUAGAAAAAAAUCUAUUUGCCUUCCUGGCACUUGGAGUGGCUGCUGGUGUGCUUCUGUGUGGUGGCUGUAAGCCAGAGACUGCCCUGUGAGUUUGGAAAGGUCUAAAGGAUGGAUGUCAUGCCAGAAUUGGCCUCCCUGGGCACGCGAGGAGUGGCCGUGGAUACUUCUGGCCUACUGCUUCUUCUCAUCAAAGAGUGACUUUCCCUUUCUCUUGUCAAACAAUCUUCGGUGCUGAGAUCAAGCCCUUAGACUCUUGUAGUAGCAAAUGGCAUAGCUGAGUUCUCCCUUUGGCAAGGCUGAGAACUGUUUGCCUAGAAUGUGUUUGGCUCUGCCACUUCAGUGGGGGGAAUACAUUGCGAAAUCUCGUAAAAAUGCCAUUGACUAGAGUUUCAUUUAUCUUUUCUAUGGCCACUGGGUACCACUUUCUCCAAAGAGCUACAAGGUGAAGAAGCAUCUACAGGACCUGUCUAGCAGGGUCUCAAGGGCUCGGCACAAUGAGCUCUGAGGACCAGAAGCCACCAGCAGCAGCCUAGAGAGAACACUUGAAGACAUCGGGAGCUGUCAGCAUGUCAUCGGCUUGCAUAGACCUGAGGUGACUGGUGUGGCUGACCACCGUGGCAAGGAGGAUCCCUUGAAAUACCAAGCUGAUCCUACAGUGGCUGGCAAGGACUUAUUUUCUGUUGUGUCUGACUUAUUCCUGUUGUGUCCUCAUGAAGAUGAUGUGUUGGGCCCAUGGACCAUGGUUCUGAAGAAGUCCUACCCCACUGUUCCAGGCCUGUAAGAACAACCCCGGACCCUUGUGUAACUCCCUUCCUCUUCCAAUAACUAACUUGCCUGGGCUUGCCUGGAUUUGCCAAGUUCUUCGGCCUAGUCUCUCAAACUGCUGAGUUGAAGCCUGCCAUGGAGUCAGCUUGUCCAAGAGUCAUUUCAUCUCUCUCUCUCUCAACUGCAGUAAAUGGAGUCUCCAUGGGUUGCUGCAAUGAACCCAGGAUCUUUCACCCAAUUCCCCAGCACCCUCCAGUCACACAAGGAGACUGUCUUACGAACACCUGGUGUGGAUGUU